UACAGGGGGUGCAAACGUUGCUCAGAAUUAUUGGGCGUAAAGCGCGCGUAGGCGGCUACCUAAGUCGGAUGUGAAAGCCCCUGGCUUAACCGGGGAAGUGCACCCGAAACUGGGUAGCUAGAGUGCAAAAGAGGGUCGCGGAAUUCCCAGUGUAGAGGUGAAAUUCGUAGAUAUUGGGAGGAACACCGGUGGCGAAGGCGGCGACCUGGGUUGACACUGACGCUGAGGCGCGAAAGCGUGGGGAGCAAACAGG
rnacentral:rRNA from 1 species